CCUACGGGGGGCAGCAGUGGGGAAUAUUGGGCAAUGGGCGCAAGCCUGACCCAGCAACGCCGCGUGAAGGAAGAAGGCUUUCGGGUUGUAAACUUCUUUUGACAGGGAAGAGCAGAAGACGGUACCUGUCGAAUAAGCCACGGCUAACUACGUGCCAGCAGCCGCGGUAAUACGUAGGUGGCAAGCGUUGUCCGGAUUUACUGGGUGUAAAGGGCGUGUAGCCGGGCUUACAAGUCAGAUGUGAAAUCCGGGGGCUCAACCCCCGGACUGCUCUGGAAACUGUACGGCUGAAGUGCAGGGGAGGU
rnacentral:rRNA from 1 species